UCCUAGAAAGACCACAAUUUUGCUCCAAUGUUUGACCGUCCAUCUUAUUUGAAAAAAAUUAUGAUUAGUAUUUUAUUGCUAUUAGAUGGUAAAAUAUGAAUAAUACUUUAUGUGUGACUACUUUUUUUAUUUUUGCAUAAAGUUUUGAAAUAAAACGGACGGUCAAAUGUUGAACACGGAAAUCCAUAACUGCACUAAAA
rfam:Oryza sativa Japonica Group DNA, chromosome 5, cultivar: Nipponbare, complete sequence.